UAACGGGACCCCCCCGGAUCACUUUCCAAAAUUGCAACCGAACGCGUUUACUUAAAGAUAUGUCAUCAUCUAUAAAAAUUCUCCAACACUUCUUAAAACUACACUACUUUAUUUUCCGAAUAUAAAUAUUUUAAUUUCCACAGUGCACUGAAUUAGAAAUGAACAUCUACAAAUGAAACACACUAACUGACUAUCUAAACCACUAAACUGAAUCACUAACUGCCUGAACUGAACUACUUUUUCACAAGUUUUAAAUGGGAAAAGCCUAAGCAAACUGGUCUCAACUAAUUUUUCCACGUUAACAUGGAUAACAAGAGUAGUCGAUUAGCCAAAAAUGGCGUCGAGCUCAAGCUCCAAGAUUAACAAUGGAAAAAUUCUAAACACAAACUGACUGACCCCGAUCCUUGGAUCUGCUAGGCCUUAUAUAAGGGCCCUCUUCCUAACCAUCAACUCUUAUUCUCCUGAUCAUAAUUAUGAUCCGAUCAAAAAUUCUCCAGGACUCUCUCCGAGACCAAAGAGAAAUUAAUUUCUCGAUGCCCCAUGCAUAAUUGAUUAUUAAUUACGCUCUUUUCUAAUCAUUGCAUCUCACAUCCGUGAGAGCAAUUCUAAACUCUUCCCUACACGGAUGAUCAAUUUUCCCUAUGCCUCCCAUUUCGCCAUCUCACAUCCGCGAGAUUAAUUGAGCCUCCAGAAACGAAAGGCCAAUUUAUUCUCACCUCUGAGAUUCGGACCUCCCAAAAACUCUCCCCAAAACAAAACAGAAAGGCUAAAUCUCCGAUGCAUCAUAGCAUCCCCCAUCCACAUUCUCACAUCUGUGAGAUCAUAUCAAAAUUCUGAGGGGAGCGAAAGUACUCGCGAAUUCAAUCUCAAAAUUUCUUGCCUUAGUGGCUGAGUCAUCAAGGGCCACACCAAUCAUCAUCAUCCCCGAACUUGAUUUUUCAUGAACGCACCGGGCGAUCAUAAAUUUAUAGUGUUUAUUACUUUUCUUCGUCACCCGUCUCAGUUUUACGAUCACUCAUGCGUUAGAAUUUUCACGCCUUCUAAGCAUGGAUGUGUGGACGGUCGUCCGAUCGAUUCAAAACAUAAUUUUACGAUCCAAUUAUGAUCGUCGUCUGUGAUUACCUUUCUUUUCGGGGAAGGUUAUGCAUUUCCAAGUUUUUUCUUGUUGCAAAAACAAUCCGAUCAUUCAUCUCAACCCAUUUUACGAUCGGAUUUCUAGGCAAUUGUUUAUUUCAUCAAGACGACCCUGUAUGUACUUGAAUUUCGUCACCCAGAAUACAGGCACAGAGGGCUUCAACAUAUGUUGAAACCCAUGCCCAAUGUUUAUGCCAUAAAAUAUAAGCCGAGAUCCCAAAAUGUUGGUUUCCCUUUCUCGAGUCAUUCUUGACCUCCAGACUCUCUCCCUUUUUGUCGCUAGUUCUCAAUAUUCCCAACAAUUGAUAUCAUUGUUCAUCAUCUUAUUUCGGCAUGAGCGAAAAAUGCAAAAUUGUUGCAAAUGAUUGGGGAAAAGGGUGGCAUACGCCCCAUUCCCGAGAAAUGGCAAAAAUAUCGUUUUGGCAAUAAAUAGCUGAAUCUCAAUUCAGCGGUUUGUUGCAUUCCCUUACUUUUCCCGCAAAAAAUUAAGAAAUUUCUUAAAAUUUCUUAAUUUUUUAAAAUGUUGGUCAUGUUUUUGGACCUAUGAUCUUUUUUUUUCGAAUAAGAGUUGAUUUACAUACUGCUUUCCUUCUGAUUAUAACCAUUAUUUUUAUAGUGCUCUUAUUUUGUUUCUAUUGAAUCUGAUUUAGUAAUGUCCCUGGCUGAUCAUUUUCAAGCUAAGCCUUAUCCUCAAAAGUUUUAAAAUUAGAUUAUUGUUCUUGUUUUUUCUUGAUAUAUUUUGUGUUCAACUAGACUCAUACCUGUGUUUCAAAUGGCAACUGUUGACUCUGUAUUCUGCUACCUCCUUCGUCUUGGAAUUGUGAUAUCAAAUUUUUGAGUUUGCUGAAUCCCGAUGUCUCGAUGUUGUCGAUCAUGGCUGAGUCUUUCAGUGGAUCUUUAGGGCGAAAACCAAGCAUUUCCUUCUAGCUGCGUUGUUAUGUUUCUCGUUGAUUAUCAUCAAUUGUUAUUCGAUUCCCAUACUGCUUCUUUGAUUUCUCUUAAUAGCUGAUCUCUCCUGUUACGAUAUUCUUUUCUUGUUUGGCACUUCAAUUAUACGUGAUUCUUGAAACUUCUGCUUAUUUUCCGGUUAUUCCGUAUAUUGUGCCCACUUGUCUAUUCGAUUGAAAACAGGAUAUUCACGCAUACUGUCCUUUCGAUUCCAAUUAAUAGUCUUAAAAUCAUUGUGGUAAAAAAUGUAUUUUGUUUGUUGUGUUUUUUGGCAUAUCAAAAUUGAUAAUUGGUUCUUGCUGCCUUAGGAUGCUGUAGAAAUUUGCGUAUAUGACGACAGCUAGAAAAUGUGGCUUUUUCCUGCUGAAAUGUUCGUUAUAUUUGUCGAUAAUGCAUUUAAUGUCAUCCUUCCUCUAAUUGGUUGUGUUGUUGUUACUUGCUCAGCUAAGAACAUUUUGACUAUUUCUUUGGUGGAAAUUGUUUGUUGCAAAUGGCAAAUGCAACUUGAGAGUAAUGCUGCUGUUGAAUCAUCCACUAAUAAAUGCCUACUACAAGAAUUUUGAUGUUUUCUCGUCCGAGAAUUGGUAUUAUAGGAAAUGGUUCAUGUGUUUGUGAAAUAUAAACCGGUUUGAUUGUAAAGUAUGAGUGAUCAUUUUCCUUCCCAAUAGGUUGGAAUCCGCGUAUUGACACUUUCUGCAACAAUUUUCUUUGACUGUAGAAAAUAUGCUCCGUUGACUCUGAUGUUAGAUGUUUGAUGCUCAGUUUACCCUUCUGACCAACCUAAUCGACUCGCCAAUCAUGAACUCGUUGUUGAUGCUGGAACUUUUCUUUCAAUUACCGUACAUCCCUGUUAAUACGGUUCCGAUCUUGCUCGUUGACCUCUGAUUGAUGAUUUCUGGUAAUUUUUCUUUCAUUUAUUAUACAUCCAUGUUUGUAUAGUUGAAGUUUUAGCUUGUUGCCUUUGAAUAAUUGUCUUAUUAUUCACACUUCCUAAUGACCUAUGUUUUCUCUUGAUUCUUUCUAAUCUAAAAGCUUCAAACGACUAUUUUGCUUAUUAAUUAUGAGCACUUUACAAUUGAUAUAUUUUUAUUGAACACACGUUUUGAUGAAUUAUUAUGAAAAAUUUUCCAACAAAUUCCCUUAAUUGACAAAACCCAUGAUAAUUGAAAUUUUCAUCUCCCAGCAUAAAUGGAAAAAAAAUAAUAACUUUCCAACAUUUACAAUUAUUGGAAAUAAAAUCAAUUUCCCUUCCUGUUAAAAAAAAUCUUGUUUAACAUACCCACAGUAUAUCAAAAAGUGUUUAACCUUAACAUUUGAAAAUUAAUUUCGCAAAAAUAAUCCCCUCGUUCCUAUAUAUAUUUUUUAUGUGACGAUAUUUCCUAAUUUUGUACUUUUCGGUAAAAGAGAACUUAGCUCUUACAAUUGAUCCUGAAAAAAAAUAUAUAUGUUGAUUAGUCUGCUGAUUUCUUACCCACAUUCGUUCUUAAACAUCAACUGCACGAUCGCUUCUUCAUCAUCCUGUGUCCGUCGCAUUUGACCUAUCAUCUCUUCGCCUUCUCUCUUAUGUGUCUGUUGCUUGUACUGCUGAAUUUCAAUUAAUGCUUUUUUAUGCGUCUUCUUCUGUAGAUGAACAAAUAGUUUAUUAGAUUUUAUUUUUGGUUUCAGCACUUUUAUUCUUAUUCUUCCUUAUAUCGACUUGGUCAUAAAUUAUCGAUUUGAAUCAUUGAUGCAUGUUAAAAUCAAAUCUUAUUUUAUAUAUUCAUGAUAUUUUUAUAUGAUUUUCUUUUUUCCUUUUUUUUAAUAUUUGAAACAGGACAGACCGACAGUCUUCUUCUUAUCUUUGGGAGCAAUAGUUGGCUGUCUUUUUUUUUCAUUCAAGAACUUUAUCGUACCGUUACAGUACCGUACCUUGAUGAAAUCAGGAAGUUUGUUUUUCCUGGUGGUAGCUGGGUAUACCAAACCGAACCAUUUUUCAUUUUCUUUGUUUACCAUAACGUUUUCUUUUUUGAUUGUUUUUCGUUUCAUGGUCAUGUUAUUCAUUCAAGAACUUUUUUGUAUCGCUGGAUACAGUACCUUGACGAAUCAGGAAUGUCUCUAUUCCUGGCGGUAGCUUGGUUUACCAGACCAGACCAUUGAUUUAUUUAUUUAUUUUUUUCAUUUCUGGACCCAAGGUAUUCAUUAUUGUUUGAUGGCUUAUUUAUUAUUCAUUCAAGCACUAUGUGUAUCAAUGAUACAGUACCUUGAUGAAUCAGGAAUGCUGCAUUCCUGGUGGUAGCUUGGUUUACCAGACCCUGCCAUUUUCGUUUAUUCUUGUACUUAUUCUCAUUUUUCUUAUAUUUGUGGAUGUUUCAUGAUUCAUGGCAUGCUCAUUUUAUUUAUUAUUAUUGUCUUAUUCAUUCAAGAACUUUUCAGUAUCGUAAGAUACAGUACCUUGAUGAAUCAGGAAUAUUGUCAUUCCUGGUGGUAGCUAGGUUUACCAAACCAUGCCAUUUUCGUUUUUCCGUUUUCUUUAGCAUAGUUUUUUUUUUUAUUUCAUGUUUUAUAUUUCUUGGCAUAUUUAUUAAGCAUAUUAUUUAUUAUUCAUUCAAGAACUUGUUAGUAUCGUAAGAUACAGUACCUUGAUGAAUUAGGAAUAUUGUCAUUCCUGGUGGUAGCUUGGUUUACCAAACCUUUGAUACUCUGUACUUUGGCAAUGUGGGGGAAACAAAACUGUCCAAUUCCAUACUUUUCAUUUUCAAACAUCUCGUUUAAUAUAUUCUGCACAUUCAUUCUGGUGUGCACUAACCUUGUCCAAUCAUUCAUUCUUACAAACAAACAUAGGUAAAUAGAUAAAACUAUUGCCUGAUUUUUAACUUUCCAAAUGGUACAGAAUUUGACGACUCGUCGACAAUGUAAUUUCAAUUAAUAUGCCAUAUUUUUUUUUAGUUUCCGAUGCCAGAUUUACUCUUUUUUGUAUAUUUUUAUCUUUAUCUUUCUCUAUCCAAUGGAUAUGGUGCACCUUGGUCCGAAUAAUGUUCAUAUGAAUUUGUAUUAAUUGUAUUAAUGGUUCUGUAUCAGCCUCUGGUUGUAUGUAUUUGUCCCUUUAUUCGUUGUGUUUUUUUAUUAUUAUUUUAUUUUAUUUUUUUGACUUGUCGUAUUCAAAUUAGAAGUAUUCAGCUCAUUCUCGACCUGCUGGAAUUUCGUUACGAUUUUUUUUUGUAAUAGGGGUAAUUAAUUCAUUUUCGUUAAAAAAUUUCCCAUGGUAUAAACAUGCAUCAAUGUUCAUUAUUUCAUUCAUGUCUUUCUUGAAGAUUUUGGUAGUGUCUCUGUCAUUACUAUGUAAUCCAUGAUGUAAUCUAUUACCUAGGAAACUCGCUAUUAUGUUAUUAAGCGAUACUUUGCUUUAUCAUUUUUGUUAAAAAUAAAAUCUGCAAAUUGAUAGCGCGCUAAAAGCAGCAAUACGAUCGACCGUGCACUUAUUCUUAAAAAAUACAUGUAUUACUCGUUUCCGUAUAUCUUAAACGUUUUAUUUUAUGUUAUUAUUCCUUUUUUUCAUGAUUUCCAUGUUGAUUGUGAGGAAAUUUCACAUGAUCUUCAUUUUAAACAACCUUUUAUAUUUUUUUUCGAUUUUCAUUUAGUUCAAUCAGAUGUAUUUUUACCUAUACAUUACACAAACUUUAAAAUUUCAUUACUGUUGUAGCCCAAUCAUUUAUACUUUGUUAUGCGAUUGUUUUCUCGAUUUGUUCUCGUUUUUAAACCCCUACAUUUGCAAUGAAUUGAAGGUAUAAUCUAAUUGAUCCCUAAUCAAUGAUGAGAAAAAAAAAACAAGAUGCGAAUCUAUUCUUGUUUGUGGUAAGUUUUUUCCCUUGGCAAAUUAAAAUCCAUUAUGUUUAUUGCAAACACACUUCUUCACUCCUUCUCUUCGCACACGAAGGCAUUGACACCCAAAAAUUCUACAGCAACAGUAAUUGCUGCGACAACAGUAAGUGGCUUGUGACGAUAGAAAAUGUGCAUCUGCAAGUAAAACGAAAACGUUGUCGCGUCUCUUUCCUUAUCCGUGAUAGCCGAAAGAAGAGAAAACAAAUUUCAGCUUCAUUCCGUUUUCGACUUGCAGUGCUAUAGGAUACUGGAGAAAAGAACAUGGGAUGUCACAUCGUCUUUAUUUGGGACAUGUAAAUUACAGAAUGCUCGGAAGUUAACCAAGUCCUGCGAUGGGAUCCAGGCGUGCUCCGUGCAGUGGACCAUCACCAGGAUAGAGAAAUCCAUCUCUACCCGUACAACAAGGCCGGGGAUUCAGAGUGCAAGGGAAAAAACAUAUACAUAGAAAUUUAUGUAAAAUAAAUUUCAAUCAUUCUAAUCAAUUUCUAAGUGCUUUGAUUGUGUUUAGUUAUCAUUUUUUUUAAUUUUAGAUACGAUUAAACGUUAGUGUGUUCAAUGGUAGUGUCAGUAAGGGAACGAAAAAGGAAAAAAAUAAACGGUAAGUUUUUUCUUCCUUAUUAUUACUUUUAAGUGUGGUGUUCCCUUUAAAAUUUCAUAAAUGUUGAAACCAAGUUAUUUUAUCUUCGCUAGAUAUUUUUUUAAGUGUUAAACAUUAUUCCAGAUUCAAAAUUGGGACGUUUCGAACCAUUCAGUAUGAUUACCCAUAUCUUAUCUUUUGUCAUGAAAAAUUACGUUGCCUGACAAACUAUUGAAUAUUGCUUCUCAUAUUUUUCAAAUAAUCAAUGUGCUUCUUUUGCUUCCAAUAUGCGUUUCUAGCGAAAGACCGUGAAGUUCUUUCAAGAUUGUGUCACUAUUUCCUGACACCUAAGCAUUCUCUCUGAAUUGGCAAAAUGGAAUUUUUUUUUUCAAUGUGACAUAACCUGUUUAAAUGUGGUAAAGGUUUUAUUUUUCUGAAUGCAAUAAGAGAAUUUGAAGUACCUAAAAUAUUCCUCAAGAUGUCUUUCAAAUUGUUAAACAAAUUACAACAUUUCAAAUUGGACUAUUUAGAUCCAAUCAAGAUAGUUUCCCAAAGUUUUUCUUUUGUAUGGACAUUUCGUUACCUGACAGAAAGUCUUUAUACCCAUUCAUGCAGUUAUUUGAAUGCAGUUCUGCUAAAUAAAAUCGCUAUUUAAACAUCAACAUUCUCUAGAUUUGUAUCCGUAUUUGCUUAUGCUAAUUAACCUUUGGAUUUUUUUCAAUUCAGUUUUCAUUGAAUCGUUUUAUAUCUGCCAAAUGCUGUGCUGUGUUUUCUUCUGGUUCUGCCAACGUUGUGGAAAUUCUUUAUUAUUAUAUUGUUGAUAUUGAGUAUUGAAUAGGAGCAACAUUUGUCUGAUCAAACCUGGAUAACAAUAUGAUAAUAUUGCAAUGAUCUGUUAAAAAAAUAAAAUUUUGAUUGGAAGCAAAUUGUUUAAAAUGUUAGUUUCCUUGAAUAUUUUUGUUCAAGGUUUCUUGCAUUCCCCAUGAUAAGUAUUUAAAUUAUUUUGUUUUAUUUUUCAAGGCUUUCAAAACUUUGCAUAAAUUUUCAUGAUAUUCCUGCAUUAUUUUUCAAUAAUUAACAAUAUCAUCUAAAUAAAUGAUGGUUCCUUGAUUUUAUUGUUUCCAAGAAUUCGACAUUUUUUUUUCAUGUAGCGUUUAAGGGAUUCCUGGUAACCUUGUUUCAUUUUUUUUUCUGGAAAUUUUGCUAAAAUUUCUCAUAUCUGUUUUUUUUUAAAUCAUGAACUCGGAAAGUACAAACGUUUGAAUUUCCCUUUUGAUUUAAAUGAAGUUGUUUGUUAUGCAUUCUGGCAGGAAAUUGAUUGGCACAAAACUCAUCGAAAUACAAAAAUGUCUGCAAUUUAUCAUGAAAUCUAUCUAAUUUUGGAAUGCAGUGGAAAGCCAAUUGCAUUGAGAAAUGUUAUUAAACUGCUGCAGAAAUUGUAGAGAAAAACAAUAAUUGCUUGCUGUAUAAAUUGCAAAAUCUGAAUUUGAAAUACUUUAUGUUUUUAAUUUAUGAAUUGGCAGAUUGCAGAUUUUUUUCUGAUAUGCAGUAAAAUAUAAAAAUGAAUAAAUUACUAAAACAUCAUUCAUGAGAAUUGGAACUAAUUAUUACUCACCAAAAUGAAGAUAUUUCUUUUAAUAUUUUCCUCAGCCCCUCCUUCUAAACUCUAAAAAGAAAAAAAAACAUUCAGAGUUAAUUGUGACACUUAUUUCUUGUCGCAUUCCAAGCACUUGCAGUAAUAAUUUUCUCUUACUAAUAAAACAAAUGUCUCUUCGAUUCUUUAGAUUUUUGAUCUACAGUCCAUUUUGCACAAAAAUAGUAAAAAACAACGUGUUAACGAAAUAUAUUUUUUUUUUCAAUUUUCCAAAAGUUCGCUGUUAUCCACUUUUACAGUUCGUCUAAUUUCCACUUUGAAUCAUUUUGAUUAUUCGCUCGCACUACUUUUUUAUUUGCACGCACUAUCAAGUUUCCAAAUUUGCACAGUUUUGCACACCAAUAAAAGUUAAAACCAACUUGAAGAGUUUGGAAAAAAUGUUCUCGGUUUUUGAAAAAGUUUGUUCUAAAAGAGUUCAUUCACUUUACGAGUUCUUCUGAUACUUCAUCCUAACGUGUUUUAAUCAUUUGCACUACUGUUUGAUUUGCACGGUAACAGUUCUUUGAUUUGCACAGUUUCGCACCAGUCAGAAAUGACGCACCAAAUUUCAUCUAAAUCUGAAAUUCUUUUUCGCUGUCACCAACUGUAACGGGACCCCCCCGGAUCACUUUCCAAAAUUGCAACCGAACGCGUUUACUUAAAGAUAUGUCAUCAUCUAUAAAAAUUCUCCAACACUUCUUAAAACUACACUACUUUAUUUUCCGAAUAUAAAUAUUUUAAUUUCCACAGUGCACUGAAUUAGAAAUGAACAUCUACAAA